GCUGAAGAACGUAGCGAAAUGCGAUAAGUAAUGUGAAUUGCAGAAUUCAGUGAAUCAUCGAAUCUUUGAACGCACCUUGCGCUCCUUGGUAUUCCGAGGAGCAUGCCUGUUUGAGUGUCAUUAAUAUAUCAACCUCUUCAGCUUAUGCUUGUUGAGUGUUGGAUGGUGGGGGUUUGCUGGUGUCUUAUGAAGUCAGCUCCUCUGAAAUGCAUUAGCGGAACAAUUUGUUGACCGUUCAUUGGUGUGAUAAAAAUAUCUACGCUAUUGACGUCAGUCAGUUCAGCUUCUAACAGUCCAUUGACUUGGACAAAUUUUUCAUUAAUGUGACCUCAAAUCAGGUAGGACUACCCGCUGAACUUAAGCAUAUCAAUAAGCGGAGGA
rnacentral:misc_RNA from 1 species